CCUACGGGUGGCAGCAGUCGAGAAUUAUUCACAAUGGGGGAAACCCUGAUGGUGCGACGCCGCGUGGGGGAAUGAAGGUCUUCGGAUUGUAAACCCCUGUCAUGUGGGAGCAAAUUAAAAAGAUAGUACCACAAGUGGAAGAGACGGCUAACUCUGUGCCCGCAGCCGCGGUAAUACAGAGGUCUCAAGCGUUGUUCGGAAUCACUGGGCGUAAAGGGUGCGUAGGCUGUUUCGUAAAUCGUGUGUGAAAGGCGCGGGCUCAACCCGCGGACGGCAUAUGAUACUGCGGGACUAGAGUAAAGGAGGGGGAACCGGAAUUCUAGGUGUAGCAGUGAAAUGCGUAGAUAUCGGGAGGAACACUCGUGGCGAAGGCGGGUUCCUGGACAUUAACUGACGCUGAGGCACGAAGGCCAGGGGAGCGAAAGGGAUUAGAUACCCCAGUAGUC
rnacentral:rRNA from 1 species